UACGUAGGGAGCUAGCGUUGUCCGGAAUCAUUGGGCGUAAAGCGCACGUAGGCGGCUUUUUAAGUCAGGGGUGAAAUCCUGGAGCUCAACUCCAGAACUGCCUUUGAUACUGAGAAGCUUGAGUCCGGGAGAGGUGAGUGGAACUGCGAGUGUAGAGGUGAAAUUCGUAGAUAUUCGCAAGAACACCAGUGGCGAAGGCGGCUCACUGGCCCGGUACUGACGCUGAGGUGCGAAAGCGUGGGGAGCAAACAGG
rnacentral:rRNA from 1 species